rnacentral:lncRNA from 1 species
CUGCCUUUACCAGACGUUAAACCACGUGCCUUUUCAAAUUAUAGGCGUCAAACCACUUGCCUUUUAACAUUACAGGCGUCAAACCACUUGUCUUUUCAUAUUACCAGGCGUCAAGCCACUUGUCUCUUCACAUUGUAAGGGCCAAGCUAGAAUUCUUCUAUAAAUAGAAGCUCAAUUCUUCCUUCAUUCUCACCAAUUCAC